rnacentral:rRNA from 1 species
CCUACGGGUGGCAGCAGUGAGGAAUAUUGGUCAAUGGCCGGAAGCCUGAACCAGCCAAGCAGCGUGAAGGACGAAGGUGCUACGCAUUGUAAACUUCUUUUGUCAAGGGACAAAAUCAGGCUCGAGAGCCUGUCCGUGGGUACUUGAAGAAAAAGCAUCGGCUAACUCCGUGCCAGCAGCCGCGGUAAUACGGAGGAUGCGAGCGUUAUCCGGAUUUAUUGGGUUUAAAGGGAGCGUAGGUGGUCUGUUAAGUCAGUGGUAAAAGUGCGGGGCUCAACCCCGGCGUGCCGUUGAAUAUGGCAGUCUUGAGAUGUGGUGAGGUAUGCGGAAUGCGCGGUGUAGCGGUGAAAUGCUUAGAUAUUGCGCAGAACUCCGAUUGCGAAGGCAGCAUAC